rnacentral:lncRNA from 1 species
ACUGCAUGAAGCACGGGUCAUGAGUAAACUUUUAUAAAAGUAAUUAGUGCUCACAGCAAAUCUGGGAGAAGAAAGGAGGGUCAGGGGAUCAGAAGUCAUUCAAACAUCAUAAAGGUAUCCUUUUUGGUGUUUACAGAACGAUGUCCUGCUGGGCACAGAAGCAGGAAGCAAGCCUGUCUCCUCUCAGCACCUGCUAACCGGGAACAAGAUGGAUUUGUAGACUGACUCACAUAACACAGUGGAAGUCCUUCAAUCAUUGGCCUAAGAUGACAAAGCUGAUUCCAUCUAGAACAUUCCCAUUUCUUGUGGUACAUGAAGAAACAUUUGGUGAGCACUCGCCAAAGCA